rnacentral:rRNA from 1 species
UACGUAGGGGGCAAGCGUUGUCCGGAAUCAUUGGGCGUAAAGAGCGUGUAGGCGGUUCGGUAAGUCUGCUGUGAAAGUCCAAGGCUCAACCUUGGGAUGCCGGUGGAUACUGUCGAACUUGAGUCCGGAAGAGGAGUGUGGAAUUCCUGGUGUAAGCGGUGAAAUGCGCAGAUAUCAGGAGGAACACCGAUGGCGAAGGCAGCACU